CGCUGGCGGCAUGCCUUACACAUGCAAGUCGAACGGCAGCACGGGGGCAACCCUGGUGGCGAGUGGCGAACGGGUGAGUAAUACAUCGGAACGUGUCCUGUAGUGGGGGAUAGCCCGGCGAAAGCCGGAUUAAUACCGCAUACGAUCUACGGAAGAAAGCGGGGGAUCGCAAGACCUCGCGCUCUAAGGGCGGCCGAAGGCAAAAUAGCAGGUUGGUGGGGGGGGGGCCAUGGCCCUACCCAAGGGCAACCGAUUCUUGUAGGCUUGGUUCUUGAGGAGGAACCGACCCAGGCCACCACCUGGGACCUGAGACCACCGGCCCCAGACCUCCCUACCGGGAGGCAGCAGUGGGGAAUUUUGGAACAAAUGGGGGAAACCCCUGAUCCAGCAAUGCCGCGUGUGUGAAGAAGGCCUUCGGGUUGUAAAGCACUUUUGUCCGGAAAGAACAACUUCUGCCCUCAUACGGUCGGGAGGAUGACGGUACCGGAAGCAAUAAGCACCG
rnacentral:rRNA from 1 species